GCCAGUAUAGUGUAGUGGUUUCAAUGUUCGACUAGGACAUUGGGAGACCAAGGUUCGAAUCCCUGCUCGGCCA